AGAAUCAACGCUGGCGGCGUGCCUCAGACAUGCAAGUCGAACGAUUAAACUCCCCUUCGGGGGAGAUAUAAAGUGGCGCACGGGUGAGUAACACGUAGGUAAUUUGCCUUCGGGUGGGGAAUAACAGCCGGAAACGGCUGCUAAUACCGCAUAAUGCAGCGGCACCACAUGGUGACAGUUGUUAAAGCGGGGGAUCGCAAGACCUCGCGCCUAAAGAGGAGCCUGUGGCGGAUUAGCUAGUUGGCAGGGUAACGGCCUACCAAGGCAACGAUCCGUA
rnacentral:rRNA from 1 species